ensembl:lncRNA
CCAGGUUUCUUCCUGGUCAGGUUUGCAUUAUCUCCUCGGCUGAGGCUGUACACACAAGAAUUUUUCACUCCGGAAAUCUUAUUCUCUCUGCCCACCCUAAAAUCAGAUCCUACAUCUGACCCUUAAAACACACACACACACACACACACACACACACACACACACACACCCCAAGUAAUUCAAAUCAGCCCACACUUGCAGUCUUUUAAAAUACUCUCAUACAUAUGCUUAGCACAUCCCACUCCUGAGCAUUUCAGGUGCCUCAAAAGGACAGUUUAUUCCCCUUAAUGCACAAAAUACUGACUUUGCGGUUUGUCUUUUUGGCGGGGUGGGAUGGAGGGUCUGAGGAAAGCUGAGAUAGUCUUCAUGAAAGAGCAGCUAUGCAUGGCCCUGUAUGAUUUAGAUUACUAUGCAAACCAACAACUAUUUUUGGACGAUGGAAUUAAUUAUUUACACAGGGGGAAUUUGCCAUUCUUUAGCUUGGUUCUGUCCUGCUGUUUAUGUUACACAAUCACAAACCGUGUGAAUACUGUUUUAGGCAUACAUCACCAAGAAUUCUUACAUCAGGAAAGUAAUCAUAUUAUCUAGGAUUGUUGGCUCCAGGGAAACUUGUUUAGCCAAAUUCUCGCACUUUAAAAAAUAACUGAAAAAUUCAUGGGAACGGCUCCCCAUUGUCCAUUCCAGUCUUCUCAUUACCCUGCAUUUAAUCGCCAUGGGUCUCCUACAUCUGCGUUGGUCUCUUAACAGGGCUAAUAGUAAUAAAUUCAAGUUUUGGUUUUUUGCUUACAACUGCCAUUUCCAAGUCCUGCCGUGUCUGCAGAAAGAAAUUAAGGGGUUGGAUAGUUUUCCGAUAUUAUUCAAAGCUGUUCAUAAUUCUGUCGUUGAGAAUCGCUCCCUUCAGCACACCCAUUGCUGCCGCCUCUCGGCUGGGUAAAAGAGUCUCCGGGCCAAGCCAGGUUGCUCAGGGCCAGUUCGCGCUCUUGUGCCUUGGCGCUCGGAUUGUCCUAGCCCUCUCGUCGGUUUCCAGUAGGUCUCCGAAAAUUUUUGAUUGCGUGAAGCCGGUGGCAUUUCCGCGCGCCGAUGGAAAGGCAAGCGAGGACGCCCAGGCCAGCCGGGUUCCCGACUUCAUCGAGGCCCGACGGUCGGCGAGGGUGGCCCUCUCCCGGCCUCUUUAGAGAAGCAGCAGCGAGGGCGAAGGGGUUCACAUCAUUCCCGCGCUGCCCUUAAACUCAGGGCCUCCCUGACCUUCACUGUCACUUGGUGCGCACCUAGUCCUCGGAGACAUUUCAGCCGGCGAGCGCACCGGCCCGGGCAGAGGGAGGUGAGGGGUGCAGAGGCCGCCCUCCUCGGGUGUCCCCCGCCUGGCCUGUCACAUCUGUACUUAUUUAAAGCUCGGCUGGUGGUCCUCGCUCUCUGGAAUGCCAGUUGCGGGCCUGGCCUCCUACGACAUUUGCAUUGAUCAGGGAGCCAGUCCUGGGGACGGUGGGAGCAGUGAGGGAGGCAGGAGGUUCACGGUACUCUGCCUGCCGCCUUCCCUCCAGCCUAGCCAGGAGCCCAGCGCAUCGCACCGCCACCAGACUGCUGAGUGCAUCAGGGAACGCAGACCUAACCCUAGAGAACGUUGGCUGUGUAUGGGAACCGGCCAUUGUUGUCAGUAGAUUGUGAUCCGGUGCACUCACAAGCCUAAGUCCCUGCAGUUCCCAAGUUCCCGCGUCUCUGUAUCAUGCCGAGAAGUAACAUGCUAUUACCCCAGUUCUAAAAGUGUGCGCAGUGUUGAAUUUGCAGCUUCCUCAGUGUGAAACUCUUAAAAACUGUUUUCUGGUGCAAGUCCAUAAAAAAUGAAAUUGACUUGCCUUGCUUAAAAUACUGCACGCAAAGCACAGAAAAGGCACCAGCUACCUGCAUCAGAGACGCCACCACAAGCAAAGAAGCUGGGUGCAAAUUAUUGUAUUGGUGAAAAACAAGCUUCUGUAAUCCUCUUGGGCACAGGGCAGGGUCCUUGGGAGCAGAAGAGAAGGGGAACUUUUUAAAAAGUUGCGUAAGCCUCAAAGAGUUUGGUCAAAUUUUUGUAUUUGCCUUUGGAUUUGCCAUAAUUAAGGGUGAAAAUAAGGCCCCUCUGUAUUUCUAUGUGCCUUUCCUCCUCUGCAAAGCUUUUACCCCGGAGGAAAGUUGUUUCAGUAAUAUGGGAAAGAGAAACCGUGUGCUGAGUCAGCAAAAGUGCAGCACCAGGCCAGUUCAGUUCAAUAAUACUGCUGUGUGUAAUGUACACACUCUAUAUGCCUUUGUGGAAAUAAUGAAAAAUAUAUUGGGAUUUUCAUGGCAUAAGAAAUACCCACAAAGCCUGUUGGCAGUGGAGAGGCCUGACUGAAUAGGUGCUGUGUCUUCUAAUACAAGAAAACAGGCUUUGAACAUGUCUUCAAAUGAGUGUUAGAUACCAUGUCACUUACUGUGGAGCAGACAAGAAAAUACAUUUCUCAAAACAACAUAAAAUAUUAUUUUAAAGCAGUUGUGUUGCAGAAUAUUUAAAUGUUUCUCUCUGUGUUCUUGUGACAAGUGUUCAAGGUGUCUCUAGUGAACGGAAUUCCUUUUUUCAUUUUGCAUC